AGGCCUGAAGCCGGAGUAACCGCAUCUGAAAAAUCUAGGCAUGCAUCUCGCCGCCGACUACCCCCACCGCGGCGGUGGCCGCCUCGGCCUAGGGCCAUUCGCGGCAGCGGUGCUCCGCACCGACAACCGUCGCCGUGCGAUUGCAGGCGGCGCGGUCCUCGCCUCGGCGCUGCUUCUCGUGGCCACACCACGACUCCGCCACUCGCCGGCGCUCCACCUCUUCGCCGACAUGCGCAACCUCCUCGGCGUGCCCAACACCCUCAACGUGCUCACCGCCUACCCGCUUCUCCUUGCUGGAGUACCAGGACUCAUCCUGUGCCUCUUCGGCGGUGGAUGCUUCGGCAUAAGCUUAAGGUGGGAGGCCUUGGGAUGGUUCCUCUUCUAUGUGGGGAAUGUAGGGGCAGCAUUUGGCUCAGCUUACUAUCACCUCAAGCCAGAUGAUGACCGGUUAAUUUGGGACAGGUUGCCGAUGAUGAUGUCGGCCUCCUCGCUUUUGUCGAUAUUGGUAAUUGAAAGAGUUGAUGAGAGGGCUGGGUUAUCUUGUUUGAUCUCGCUCUUGUCUCUUUUACUGGUGAGCAGUGCGUGUGAAAGGAUUCUUGAUGAUAUGCGCCUGUGGGUAGUUUUAAACCUGGUUCCUUGUGUUGCCAUUCCUGCAAUGCUAUUCUUGUUCGCGCCAAAGUAUACACACUCAAGAUUUUGGUUUCUUGCUACAGGUAAGGCUUUUACCUUCUGGCAAGAUUCGAAGGCCUUGCCGACAGAAAGGUUUACAGUGUGAAUAGAUAUUUCAUUAGCGGUCAUUCCUUGGAGCACCUUUGCUUCGCCAUGGUUACAUUGAUACUUACUGUGAUGCUAUCCUUCAGAAAUAUUAAGAUCACCAGGGACUCGUGACUACAACUCCACCAUUGCUUGUUUGUAACAAAUGGCAAAUUUCCUGUCAGAAUUUCUAUGUUCGGAAGGGCCCCUCCAGAGUCCGGAAGCACCUGAAGAAACAUAAAUAGGUGAUCUAUGUAUCCUAUCUUUCCACUACCUGGGUGACUGACGCCCUCCAUCCCUGGGCGGCAUAGACAAGUCCUGUGAGAUUAUUUCAAUGUGUGUUCAUGUCGUGAGUUAUUUGUGUUUGGAGCUUGUUAACUGGACCAGCAGAAACAUUGGACGACUAUAUUGCAAUUUAUACAGAUUUCAGCUGUCAAAAAACCA